GACGAACGCUGGCGGCGUGCUUAACACAUGCAAGUCGAACGAAGUGGCGCACGGGUGAGUAACGCGUAAUCCACCUGCCCUUCAGGGGGGGACAACAGUUGGAAACGACUGCUAAUACCGCAUACUGAAGGUGGGGAUUGCGUUGGAUUAGCUAGUUGGAGGGGUAAAGGCCCACCAAGGCGAUGAUCAGUAGACGGGCUGAGAGGAUGGACGGCCACAUUGGGAAUGGGACAAGGCCCAGACUCCUAAGGGAGGCAGCAGUGGGGAAACUUCCGAAAUGGACGAAAGUCUGACGGAGCAACGGCGCGUGAGUGAUGACGGCCUUCGGGUUGUAAAGCUCUGUUAAUCGGGACGCGGUACCGGAAUAGAAAGCCACGGCUAACUACGUGCCAGCAGCCGCGGUAAUUC
rnacentral:rRNA from 1 species